AGGAGUAAACUUAAAUUCUGUUUUUUAUACAUAAAAUGUCCAAAUUAAUUAUGAUAAAAAAAGGAAACUGACAAAUAUUCACAGUUAUCUAUAUACCACGAAAAAUAGAAAUAAAAGGCCAAGGUAUGAGGCUGGCAAUCAAGUUACAGUGACAGAUGCUAAAGUGUGAGGAGCUAGUGGCUGUUGAUAACAGGAAAAGAUAAACUGAGGCACAGCAUACUGGGUAACCAAGAAACAGAAAGAAGAGAUCAUCUCUGCCUUUGGCAAUUGGUGGGGUGAGGCAGAACUAGAUAAAGGGUGGGACUGGAUAGUCAUGGGCAGACCAAUCUACAAAGCAUGCUCUAAAUCAGAAAGAUAGUACCAGUUGGCACUGCAGGAAACUCCUUGCAGACUUUCACACUGUAAAUUGGCCCAACUACUACAAAGUAAAGCAUCACUAUGGUAUGGAAAGUAACAUUGUUAUUCCAACUUUACUAGAAGAUUUUUGCAAAUUGGGAGGUAUAACCCAGGUUUGCCUCCAAUUCCAAGAGCAGCUUUUGGACAUCAUAGUCAUUGGAAGCUGAAAUUCCAUAAUAGAACAAUAGGUGGUUAUACAAUUUACCUGGACAAACACUUUACCAGUAUGAAUAGCUAGUGCUAGCUGUUUAUUAAUACAAACAGCAGAGGAAAGGUGCUGCAACGUAAGAUGCAAUUCCAAUGAAGUUGAAAUGUUGUGUCACAUUCAAUCCAUCUUACAAAUGUACAGAAAAAGACAAACAAAUUUCAUUACUUAAAAUUUGGUAUUUGAAAAAGCACUAAAUUAUUAGCUGGUUAUGGUGUCCAUUUGUCUCAGUCUACCCCUGAAUAGAGGCAACAUUUGAGCUAGGCGUUAAACAAUGGGCAGGAUUUGAACAUGCAAAUAGUAAAGACACCUAUAAGGCAAGAGAAGUAAACUUCUGGCAGGGAGGUCUCUUCUCUACCUGGUCCUCCACUCUCCAAUAUGUGAAAUUUGGGGAGUUCACACAGCAGUACUUGUUGGGCUCAUUUGCCAAACAGAAAAGACCUAAUUAAUGUCCCAUCUUCUUUAGUAUGUACCCCAAAAGAUGUCUGGCAACUUAGCUUUCCUGAAUUCUCAGUCAGACCCUAAGAUAGCAUGGUGUGGAUAAAGAGUAUGGGCUGUGGAAUCAGGCAGGCUUGGGUUUGAAUUCUGGCUCCAUCUUGUACUGACUGUGAACCUUCUCUGAAUUUACUUACCCUUACUAGAGAGGAUUUAGUCUCUUCAUUUUAAAAAUGGGAACAACUUCAAUUUCCAUGUAGAGAUGUUGUAUUAUUUGAGAUAACACAUGUAAAGCAUCUAUCAUCUGGGAAUAACUCAAUGAACAGAACCUUUGGAUCAUUAGUUUGAAGCUUUGUCUUUCCCAUUGCAAAACUGGUAAAGAAGCACCAUAUCUUUCCUUCUGUUCCAACCAGUCUGCACUGCCUGUGGUUUUGGGAUAGCAAGUCUGCACCUGACACAUAUUCAAAUGGACACUUACCUGCCAUACCUUGACAUUGUCUGGUCUGAUAAUUUACCGAUCUGUGCUGUAGAAGAUUCACCCAGACCUGAAUGGGGUUGGGUUUCCAUGACCCAUGAGUCAAUUGCCAUGUUUAGUUGGUGCUAAACGUACGCUUACUUCAAACAAACAACAGGUAACCUGGACAAACUAUACGAAAUAAUUGUUUUUAUAUGUUGGACAACAGACAACACACAACUGAGAUCCCUGAUGAAAAGGAAGGAAGUGAGGUAAUCAAAAACUUUCAAAAGACUUGAGCUGAAACUUCAUGAAAGAAGAUAUUUGAAUGGCCGAUAAAUACAUGAAAAGAUGCUCAUCAUAAUCUUCAUAAUCAUUAUCAUAAGAGAAAUGCAAUUAAAACCACAAUGAGGCAACAUUACUUGUCCACUACAAAAGCUAAAAAUAAAAAUAAAAAAACUGACAAGACCAAAUGUUGUCAGCGAUGUGGAGCAACUGGAAUUCUUGAACAUCUGAUGGGAGUGUAAAAUUUUAUCAUCACUUUGGGAAACAGUUUGGCAGUUCCUUAGAAAGUGAAAUAUACAUUUACCAUAUGACCCAGCAAUUCCACA